rnacentral:rRNA from 1 species
GACGAACGCUGGCGGCGUGCUUAACACAUGCAAGUCGAACGGAAAGGCCCCCUUUUGGGGUACUCGAGUGGCGAACGGGUGAGUAACACGCGAGUAACCUACCUUUGACUGUGGGAUAACUUCAGGAAACUGGGGCUAAUACCGCAUAGGAGCUCCUGCUGCAUGGUGGGGGUUGGAAAGUUUCGGCGGAUGGGGUUGGGCUCGCGGGUUAUCGGCUGGUUGGUGGGGUAGUGGCUCACCAGGGGACGGACGGAUAGUCGUCAUGGGAGGGGGACCGGCCACAUUGGGACUGAGGUACGGCGCAGACGCCUAUGGGGGGCAGCGGUGGAGAGUAUUACACAGUGAGGGGGAGCCUGAGGCAGAGACGCCGCGUGCGGGAUGACGGCCUUCGUGUUGUAAACCGCUUUCGCCUGUGACGAAGCGUGAGUGACGGUAAUGGGUGAAGAAGCACCGGCUAACUACGUG